rnacentral:tRNA from 1 species
GGCCUCGUAGCUCAGUUGGUAGAACGUACGCGUACAAAGCGUANCAAAGCGUAGGCGGCGUCCAUGCGUGGUUUCGAAUCCCACCGGUGCUA